rnacentral:tRNA from 1 species
GCCGUGGUGGCGGAAUGGCAUACGCGAUGGUCUCAAAAACCAUUGGGGGCAACCCCGUGUGAGUUCGACUCUCACCCACGGCA